UGGGGAAUAUUGGACAAUGGGCGAAAGCCUGAUCCAGCAACGCCGCGUGGAGGACGAAGGUCUUCGGAUUGUAAACUCCUGUCAGAUGGGACGAAAAGGCGCCGGUAAAUAGUCGGCGUCUCUGACGGUACCAUCAGAGGAAGCCACGGCUAACUCUGUGCCAGCAGCCGCGGUAAUACAGAGGUGGCGAGCGUUAUUCGGANNUNUUGGGCGUAAAGGGCGCGUAGGCGGCCCUGUAAGUCAACGGUGAAAUCCCUCGGCUCAACCGAGGACGUGCCGUUGAUACUGCAGGGCUCGAGGCCGGGAGAGGGUAGUGGAAUUCCCAGUGUAGCGGUGAAAUGCGUAGAUAUUGGGAGGAACACCGGUGGCGAAGGCGGCUACCUGGACCGGUUCUGACGCUGAGGCGCGAAAGCGUGGGGAGCAAACAGGAUUAGAUACCCUGGUAGUCCACGCUGUAAACGAUGGGUGCUCGGUGUCGCGGGUAUCGACCCCUGCGGUNCCUUAGCUAACGCGUUAAGCACCCCGCCUGGGGAGUACGGUCGCAAGACUG
rnacentral:rRNA from 1 species